AAGAAUGUUUUGCUCAUCCAGGAAAUCAAAGAAGAACUUACACAAUUCAUGGAAACCAAAGAGAAUGAAGACUCUUCGGUGCAAAACCUAUGG